UACGUAGGGGGCAAGCGUUGUCCGGAAUCAUUGGGCGUAAAGCGCGUGUAGGCGGCCCGAUAAGUCCGCUGUGAAAGUCCAGGGCUCAACCCUGGGAUGCCGGUGGAUACUGUCGGGCUCGAGUCCGGAAGAGGCGAGUGGAAUUCCUGGUGUAGCGGUGAAAUGCGCAGAUAUCAGGAGGAACACCGGUGGCGAAGGCGGGUCUCUGGGCCGAUACUGACGCUGAGGAGCGAAAGCGUGGGGAGCAAACAGG
rnacentral:rRNA from 1 species